rnacentral:rRNA from 1 species
UGACAGAUUGAUAGCUCUUUCCUUGAUUCGUGGGUGGUGGUGCAUGGCCGUUCUUAGUUGGUGGAGUGAUUUGUCUGGUUAAUUCCGAUAACGAACGAGACCCUAGCCUGCUAAAUAGCUACACCUAUUUUCGAUUACUUGGCCUCCUUCAAUAGACGGACUUUGCCCGGCUAAAGGAAGUUAAUUUGAAGCAAUACUGUGUCGGCCAUACCCA